rnacentral:rRNA from 1 species
CAGUCGCCACGGUAAUACGUAGGUCCCGAGCGUUGUCCGGAUUUAUUGGGCGUAAAGCGAGCGCAGGCGGUUUGAUAAGUCUGAAGUUAAAGGCUGUGACUCAACCAUAGUUCGCUUUGGAAACUGUCAAACUUGAGUGCAGAAGGGGAGGGUGGAAUUCCAUGUGUAGCGGUGAAAUGCGUAGAUAUAUGGAGGAACACCGGUGGCGAAAGCGGCUCUCUGGUCUGUAACUGACGCUGAGGCUCGAAAGCGUGGGGAGCGAACAGGAUUAGAUACCCCAGUAGUCCCUGUCUCUUAUACA